rnacentral:rRNA from 1 species
GUGCCAGCAGCCGCGGUAAUUCCAGCUCCAAUAGCGUAUAUUAAAGUUGUUGUGGUUAAAAAGCUCGUAGUUGAACCUUGGGCCUGGCUGGCCGGUCCGCCUCACCGCGUGCACUGGUCCGGCCGGGCCUUUCCCUCUGUGGAACCCCAUACCCUUCACUGGGCGUGGCGGGGAAACAGGACAUUUACUUUGAAAAAAUUAGAGUGCUCCAGGCAGGCCUAUGCUCGAAUACAUUAGCAUGGAAUAAUAAAAUAGGACGCGCGGUUCUAUUUUGUUGGUUUAUAGGACCGCCGUAAUGAUGAGUAGGGACAGUCGGGGGCAUCAGUAUUCAACUGUCAGAGGUGAAAUUCUUGGAUCAGUUGAAGACUAACUACUGCGAAAGCAUUUGCCAAGGAUGUUUUCAUUAAUCAGGAACGAAAGUUAGGGGAUCGAAGACGAUCAGAUACCGUCGUAGUCUUAACCAUAAACUAUGCCGACUAGGGAUCGGACGGUGUUAUUCAUGACCCGUUCGGCACCUUACGAGAAAUCAAAGUGCUUGGGCUCCAGGGGGAGUAUGGUCGCAAGGCUGAAACUUAAAGAAAUUGACGGAAGGGCACCACCAGGGGUGGAGCCUGCGGCUUAAUUUGACUCAACACGGGGAAACUCACCAGGUCCAGACACAAUAAGGAUUGACAGAUUGAGAGCUCUUUUCUUGAUUUUGUGGGUGGUGGUGCAUGGACCGUUCUUAGUUGGUGGGGUGACUUGUCUGCUUAAUUGCGAUAAAC